rnacentral:rRNA from 1 species
UACGGAGGAUGCAAGCGUUAUCCGGAAUGAUUGGGCGUAAAGCGUCCGCAGGUGGCAAUGUAAGUCUGCUGUUAAAGAGUCUAGCUCAACUAGAUAAAAGCAGUGGAAACUACAUAGCUAGAGUACGUUCGGGGCAGAGGGAAUUCCUGGUGUAGCGGUGAAAUGCGUAGAGAUCAGGAAGAACACCGGUGGCGAAGGCGCUCUACUAGGCCGUAACUGACACUGAGGGACGAAAGCUAGGGGAGCGAAUGGG